rnacentral:lncRNA from 1 species
AGUCAAUAGUACUUUGAUAUAAAAAUUUAAACUAAUUCAUGGCUUUAAUGAAUAUAUAGUUGCGAGAAUUGCAUAAAAUAUACUAAAUUUAUAAAGAUAAACGAAGCAUUCCAAUUUUGUAAUCAAGAUACCGUUGAUUGAUUCAAAUCAAAUAAGUUUAGAGGUUAAAUAGUAGAAUCAAAAUUUUAGAAGGUUAGGAAGUCAACUCAAAAUGGUCAAUAUAUAUAGUUCAAGAACAACGACUACAAGUCUCGAUUGUGACUCGGCCCAACCAGUCUCAUGCUGCUUGACUCCCCCCAACCCGGCUUUCUGCCACAAGACAAAAUGCCAGGCCAACUCACCUAUUGAUAAUUCAGUUCCUUAUAUAGCACCCACAUAAAACCUAUCCCAAUCCUAAUAUAAUUAGAACACUUAUUUUAAUAAAUAUCUAAAUUCAUAUUAAUUUAUCUCUAAUAGAUUUUUUUAUCCUAAUCCAACUAGUAAUCAACUACAAUCUAACUAAAUCCUAACAAUAAUAUCACUCCUAGAAAAUCAGCUCUUACUCCA